AUGACACAACAGAAUGUUGGUCCCAGCCAGAAGGCACUGCCAUCCAAGCACCUGGGGCAGGGGCCUGCAUUUGAAGUACAGCACCAUCCGGAUAAUGCACACAAGAGGAAGCAACUGAUGAAAGAAAUGUAGAGAUAAGAUAAAUAGAGAAUAGAGAACAAAGGAAUGGGCAAUGAGAAAGCACAGAUACUUUCCGAGUAACAUCAUCAGACCGAAGAAAGAGAGACAAAAAAAAGUUCAAAGAAGAAUUGUGGGUAGGAGAGUGAUGAGGGAAGCCAGACUGAUUUCAUCGUCCUUGAUAAAGGAUAGAAGUCCAUAAGAGCUAUCAGGAACAAAACCAUGUCCACUUAGAAGGCUAUUUCAGAAGUUUCAACACCAACAUUGUGGAUAGAUGAACAUUCACCGCUAGAAGAUUCCAGUGCAUCCAUUGAAAGACGUCGUCAGAAAUUCAUGGAUUUUCCUUGGGAUAGCUAUAAUUUGACAAGGCAAAAGAAAAAGAGCAUGCAAUCUCCUUUUACAAAACUUUACAUAUCCUUCAGCAAGAGUUUCCACAAUCAGCCAAUGGUUCCAGUCCACCACUAUGAAACAUGCUACUUCUGAGGAGAAAUCAGACAGGAA